rnacentral:rRNA from 1 species
UACGUAGGGGGCAAGCGUUGUCCGGAAUCAUUGGGCGUAAAGAGCGUGUAGGCGGCCUGAUAAGUCGGUUGUGAAAGUCAAGGGCUCAACCCUUGAAUGCCGACCGAUACUGUCAGGCUAGAGUCCGGAAGAGGCGAGUGGAAUUCCUGGUGUAGCGGUGAAAUGCGCAGAUAUCAGGAGGAACACCAAUGGCGAAGGCAGCUCGCUGGGACGGUACUGACGCUGAGACGCGAAAGCGUGGGGAGCAAACAGG